rnacentral:rRNA from 1 species
CAGUAGCCGCGGUAAGACAGAGGAUGCAAGCGUUAUCCGGAAUUACUGGGCGUAAAGCGCGCGUAGGCGGUUUUUUAAGUCUGAUGUGAAAGCCCACGGCUCAACCGUGGAGGGUCAUUGGAAACUGGAAAACUUGAGUGCAGAAGAGGAAAGUGGAAUUCCAUGUGUAGCGGUGAAAUGCGCAGAGAUAUGGAGGAACACCAGUGGCGAAGGCGACUUUCUGGUCUGUAACUGACGCUGAUGUGCGAAAGCGUGGGGAUCAAACAGGAUUAGAGACCCGAGUAGUCCCUGUCUCUUAUAC